AAUUAUCAACCUUUCAAGCUUUCGUUGAAGCUAGUUAGGCUUGGAUUAUGGGAACUAUGCUGGUUUUAGCGAAUCAGCUCUCCUCAAAUACAUUAGCAAGAUUGAUUGCUGAAUCCCCAUUGAUAUGAUAAUUAUCUAUAUCACUGAUAGGACAGCAUUUUCCUUGUAGGAAAGACCUUGCUUCUAAUUGUCUUUAAAGACAUUCUUUGAACC
rnacentral:misc_RNA from 1 species